GUUUCUGGCAUUCUGCACCAAAUGGAGACCGCCAUGGGUCCUCCACCCUCAAAAAACCCUACCACCUCCACCGAACCCCAAAUACAAACUCUAAGCCUUGACGAACCCUCUAACUCUGCAAAACCAAUCUCAUCCAUGGGUCCUCCGCCUCCCAAAAAGCCUGCCACCUCCGCAGACUCACCAUCCCAAACCCUAACCCUAGACGAACCCUCAACUUCUGCAAAUCCAAAGGUGCCCAUGGGUCCUCCACCUCCCAAAUCCCAACCCACCGUCCAACCAAAUUCAAGCCCUACCCCUUUCUUCGAACCCUGUACUGAAGUCUCCGAACCCAGUACUGAAGUCUCCGAACCCCGUACCGAAGUCUCCGAACCCUGUACUGAAGUCUCCGAACCCAGUACUGAAGCCUCCGAACCCAGUACUGAAGCCUCCGAACCCAGAACUGAAGCCUCCGAACCCAGUACUGAAGCCUCCGAAAGCUCUGCAAUGCAGCCCAGUAAUAAUUCUACUCACCACCAGAAGACUCAGAGUGCUGCAGUUCCUUAUACGAUUCCUUCGUGGAGCG
rnacentral:lncRNA from 1 species